rnacentral:lncRNA from 1 species
CAUCUUCAUCAUCAUCACCCCCUCAAUCCCACCACCAUCCUCACCACCUUCAUCCCGCCAUCACCAUCACCACCACCAUCUUCAUCCUACCCUCAUCUUCAUCACCAUCCCACCACCAUCUUCAUCAUCUUCACCCCACCACCAUCAUCAUCCCACCAUCACCCCAUCUUCAUCCCACCAUCAUCUUCAUCAUCUUCAUCCCACAACCACCAUCUCCACCACCAUCUUCAUCCCACCAUCAUCAUCAUCCCACCACCACCAUCAUCAGACCCUCAUCUUCAUCAUCCUCACCAUCCCACCUUCAUCAUCAUCAUCUUCAUCCCACCAUCAUCAUCACCAUCCCACCACCAUCCUCACCACCUCCAUCCCACCAUCACCAUCACCACCAUCUUCAUCCCACCUUCAUCAUCAUCACCAUCCCACCAUCAUCAUCUUCAUCCCCCCACCACCAUCUUUGCCACCUUCAUCCCACCAUCACCCCUAUAGUCUUCAUCCCACCACCAUCAUCAUCCCACCAUCAUCAUCAUCAUCAUCCCACCAUCAUCUCCAUCAUCAUCAUCAUCAUCCCACCAUCACCCCAUCAUCAUCCCACCAUCAUCAUCAUCAUCAUCCCACCAUCAUCUCCAUCAUCAUCAUCAUCAUCCCACCAUCACCCCAUCUUCAUCCCACCAUCAUCAUCAUCCCACCAUCAUCAUCAUCAUCAUCAUCCCACCACCAUCAUCGUCAUCACCAUCCCACCAUCAUCAUCAUCACCAUCCCACCAUCACCAUCACCCCACCUUCAUCCCACCCUCAUCUUCAUCAUCAUCCCAUCACCAUCUUCCUCAUCAUCAUCAUCAUCAUCACCAUCCCGCCUUCAUCAUCAUCAUCUUCACCCCACCACCACCAUCUUUGCCAUCUUCAUCCCACCAUCACCACUGCCAUCUUCAUCCCACCCUCAUCAUCAUCACCAUCCCACCACCAUCAUCACCAUCCCACCAUCUUCAUCAUCACCAUCCCACCCUCAUCUUCAUCACCAUCCCACCACCACCACCAUCAUCAUCCCACCAUCACCUCCACCAUCUUCAUCCCACCCUCAUCAUCAUCCUCACCAUUCCACCACCAUCACCAUCAUCCCACCAUCAUCUUCAUCACCAUCCCACCACCACCACCACCAUCAUCAUCCCACCACCAUCAUCGUCAUCAUCAUCAUCAUCCAACAUUCAUCCAUCGUCAUCAUCAUCAUCAUCAUGCAACCUUCAUCCAUCCUUCAUCCAACCUUCAUCCAUCGUCCUUCAUCCAACCUUCAUCAUCCAACCUUCAUCAUCCUUCAUCCAACCUUCAUCCAUCAUCCUCCAUCCAACCUUCAUCAUCCUCCAUCCAACCUUCAUCCAUCAUCGUCAUCAUCACCAUCAUCCAACCUUCUCCAUCCACCCAUCACCAUCAUCAUCACCAUCAUCCAACCUUCUCCAUCCACCCAUCAUCAUCACCAUCAUCAUCAUCAUCAUCCAACCUUCUUCCAUCCUUCAUCCAACCUUCUCCAUCCACCCAUCAUCUCCAUCCACCCAUCAUCUCCAUCAUCCAACCUUCUCCAUCCACCCAUCAUCUCCAUCAUCUCCAUCAUCUCCAUCAUCUCCAUCAUCACCAUCAUCCAACCUUCUCCAUCCACCCAUCAUCAUCAUCAUCAUCAUCAUCAUCAUCAUCAUCAUCAUCACCAUCAUCCAACCUUCAUCCAUCCUUCAUCCAACCUUCUCCAUCCACCCAUCAUCAUCAUCAUCAUCAUCAUCCAACCUUCUCCAUCCACCCAUCAUCACCAUCAUCAUCAUCAUCACCAUCAUCCAACCUUCUCCAUCCACCCAUCAUCAUCAUCAUCCAACCUUCUCUAUCCACCCAUCAUCAUCACCAUCA